CAAGUGUUAUCCGGAUUUAUUGGGUUUAAAGGGUGCGUAGGUGGUCUAAUAAGUCAGUGGUGAAAUCUCUUUGCUUAACAAGGAAAUUGCCAUUGAAACUGUUAGACUUGAGAAUGGACGAGGUAGGCGGAAUUCGUAGUGUAGCGGUGAAAUGCAUAGAUAUUACGAAGAACUCCAAUAGUGUAGACUGCUUACCAGACCAUAUCUGACACUAAGGCACGAAAGUGUGGGUAUCAAACAGGAUUAGAUACCCUGGUAGUCCACACAGUAAACGAUGAAUACUAACUGUUUGCGAUAUACAGCAAGUGGUCGAGCGAAAGCGUUAAGUAUUCCACCUGGGAAGUAUGCCGGCAACGGUGAAACUCAAAGGAAUUGACGGGGGCCCGCACAAGCGGAGGAACAUGUGGUUUAAUUCGAUAAUACGCGAGGAACCUUACCCGGGCUCGAACGAUAUUUGAAUACAUCCGAAAAGAUGUAGCUAGCAAUAGCAAAUACCGAGGUGCUGCAUGGUUGUCGUCAGCUCGUGCCGUGAGGUGUCGACUUAAGUGUCAUAACGAGCGCAACCCUUACCGAUAGUUACCAUCAGAUAAUGCUGGGGACUCUAUUGGGACUGCCACCGUAAGGUGUGAGGAAGGAGAGGAUGACGUCAAAUCAGCACGGCCCUUAUGUCCGGGGCGACACACGUGUUACAAUGGGAGAAACAAAGGGUCGCUACCUGGCAACAGGAUGCUAAUCUCGAAAAUCUCUCUCAGUUCGGAUUGGAGUCUGCAACUCGACUCCAUGAAGCUGGAUUCGCUAGUAAUCGCACAUCAGCCAUGGUGCGGUGAAUACGUUCCCGGGCCUUGUACACACCGCCCGUCAAGCCAUGGAAGCUGGAAGUACCUGAAGUAUGUAACUGAAAAGAGCGUCCU
rnacentral:rRNA from 1 species